UCAAAAUCACCGGAAAUCUUAAUUAAUUAUUAUCAUAAUUUCAGUCUCAGACGAUGUAAACGUAUUCGAAAGCUCGGAAAAUAUAUUGAAGUUAGUCCA